CAGUGUAUAUAUUUUUCAUACAGCGAAUGCCACUAAAAUGGCUGCUGCCUCCCUGUUUCCUUAGAAACCCAUUAGUCUUCCUCGGCCGUGGUCGAAACUUGCUGGCGGUUUCUUGCUCACCUUUCCCGUUUCCCCUUUCAAAAGGGAUGAAGAGGAAGGUUAUCAUGGCUUAGGGCCGGAGCACCCACGGUAGUCACCAAGUGUGGAGUCCAGGGGACAGUUUGUCCUGAAGGGAGGUUCAAGGAGACUGGAGAAUGAAACAGCAGGUGCAUUCUGGGAUGCUUUUAUCCUAAUAAAACUCCUCCAAAGACUUUGCUGUUUUCCCUCUGCUCGAUAGCCAGGAUCUGGUUUCAGACCUGCCACCCCAUUCUCUCAGCAACACCUCCCUGCUUGGUGCUUGUCCCCAGCUGACCUCCAUCCAUUUCUAUCAUGUUUUAGCUGAAACACCAAACUGCAGGGCUUUGUCUCCUGAGCAACUGCCGAUGGGGCUAAAGGAUGAAAUACAGAAAUGCAGACGAUUUAAUUCCCCCUGAGUGAAUUGUGACCAGUGGGAGACAAGAGAUUGGAGGAUACUGGGCAGAUAAACGUCCUCUCCCUUUUUCCCUCUGAUGAACUGUUCCAAUAUAUGAUUUCUCCAUACAGCCUGUCGGAAGUCGACCUGUGUGACCAAGCCUAUGUGCUUACUGACUGCUGUAGUUUGGAUUGUGUUCCCCAAAAGAUAUGUUGAAGUCUUGAACCCAGUACCUUAUUGGAGAGAGGGUCUUUGCAGAUGUAAUUGAGUUAAGAUGAGGUCAUCAGGGCAGGUCCUAACCCAAUAUGAUUGAUGUCUUUAUAAGAAGAAAAGACAGAGACACAGAGGGAGAAGACAGCCAUGUGAUGACAGAGACCAAGGUUGGAAUGAUGCAUCUACCAGCCAAGGAACACCAAGGAUUGUCAGCAAACACCAGAAGCUAGAAGAAACGAGGAAGGAUCCCCUACAGGUUUCAGAGGGCAUAUGGCCCUACCAACAUCUUGAUUUUGAAUUUCUAGCCUCCAGAGCUGCAAGACAACAAAUUUCUGUUGUUUUAGGUGACCCUGUUUGUGGUACUUUGUUACAACAGCCCUAGGAAACAAAUAUACUGAGUGACCAGCUGUGUGGGAUUUACCUCCCAAAUAGAGCACUAACAGUGCUUAAGUCCGUGCCUGGAGCUCUGUUCUCCAGAGAGCUGUGACUGUGACUGGAACCAAAGACCUGAAUAAAAUGAAAGGUGAUAUUUGAGGACAGAGAUUACAGACAGAGGGAAGAGUCAAUGCAAAGGUGGCAGCAUGCUUGAUGUGUUAGAGGACCAGGAAGAAAGGUAGUGUGUUUGGAAAAUUAAUAAGGGGAAGAGUGUCAAGAAAUGAAGUCAAAGAGGGAGCCAAAGAAGACACCAUCCCUAGGGCCUUAUGGACCAUAGAAAGGACUUUGGAUUUUUUUAAACAAUGUAUUAUUGAAAUGUAAUUUACACUUAGGAGUAAAAUGAACAAAUCUUAAGCGUAUGGUUUUGUGAAUUUUUUUUACAUAUUGCUCUGGUUUGAAUAUGUCCCCCAAAAUGCAUGUGUUGAAACCUAACCCCCCAGGUGAUGGUAUUGAGGUUGGGCCUCUGGGAGGUGAUUAAGUCACGAGGGCAGAUAUAUUGUAAAAGAAACCCAAAAGAGCUCCCUUGCCUCCUUCUGCCAUGUGAAGACACAGGAAGUCUGCCAUUUGGAAGAAGGCCAUCACCAUGCUGGUACCCUGACCUCAGACUUCCAGCCUCCACAACUGUGAGAAAUAAAUUUCCAUUGUUUACAAGCUA